rnacentral:lncRNA from 1 species
GUUUACACAAAGACUGUGAAGAGGGCAGCUGAGGGUUAUCAACAGGAACAAGCCUGGGUAAUGACUUCCCUACUAUCAGGGGCCUGUGUGAGGAGAUUGCUUUAAACUAUGUUCCAUGUCCUGCUCCCUCCCCCAGCCGCCUCCCCACAACAAGAUAGCAGGCUGUCACACAUCUGAUGAAACAGAUUCAGAGAGGUCCUGCCAGAGCUCUAUCAAGAUGCAGGAGGAAGAGAGAGAGAUGGCAGAUAAGCAUGUUCUGCAGGUUUCCAGUCCUAGAUCAGGAGAUAACUGAGGUAAAUUCCGUCACCAAGGAACGGGUCUCUCCAACCUGCAGGUCACUCAGCCUACAGUUGGGACGAGUUUCAAAAUGCCUGGUGAAGCUGUUUGA